rnacentral:rRNA from 1 species
GUAGGGAAUCUUCCACAAUGGACGAAAGUCUGAUGGAGCAAUGCCGCGUGAGUGAAGAAGGUCUUCGGAUCGUAAAACUCUGUUGUUAGAGAAGAACGUGCAUGAUAGUAACUGAUCAUGUAAUGACGGUAUCUAACCAGAAAGCCACGGCUAACUACGUGCCAGCAGCCGCGGUAAUACAUAGGUGGCAAGCGUUGUCCGGAUUUAUUGGGCGUAAAGGGAACGCAGGCGGUUUUUUAAGUCUGAUGUGAAAGCCUUCGGCUUAACCGAAGAAUAGCAUUGGAAACUGGAAGACUUGAGUGCAGAAGAGGAGAGUGGAAUUCCAUGUGUAGCGGUGAAAUGCGUAGAUAUAUGGAGGAACACCAGUGGCGAAAGCGGCUCUCUGGUCUGUAACUGACGCUGAGGUUCGAAAGCGUGGGUAGCAAACAGGAUUAGAUACCCUUGUAGUCC